rnacentral:rRNA from 1 species
CAUAUCAAUAAGCGGAGGAAAAGAAACCAACAGGGAUUGCCCUAGUAACGGCGAGUGAAGCGGCAACAGCUCAAAUUUGAAAUCUGGCUACUUUGUAGUCCGAGUUGUAAUUUGUAGAGGAUGCUUUUGGUGAGGUGCCUUCCGAGUUCCCUGGAACGGGACGCCAUAGAGGGUGAGAGCCCCGUACGGUUGGAUGCCAAACCUUUGUAUAGCUCCUUCAACGAGUCGAGUAGUUUGGGAAUG